ACGCUAUUAAACAUCACUUUUUAAGUUUUUUUAAUUUUCAAACCUGAUAAAUCCAACUAUUGUAAAUCAUAUUUAAAUCAAUCAUUUAAAUACAAUUAUUUCACUAAAAAUUUGAAAUUAAGCCUAACAUGUGGGCAUAUCCCAAAUCAUCACAGUUGCAGGACCAUUUGAUGCUCCUCGUCUCCAUUGAGGUCCACCGUCUUCGUCGCCAUUAAGUCAUUUCACUUGGGGUCUUUUGCUCCAUCUUCUUCUCCUCUAAAACAAGCAAGGGAGGGUUAGUGUCUCUAUACUUCUUCUUUCAUGCAAGGGUACAUCCAAGUCAGGUCCACCAUCGUUGUGCCACACACUACCACCACUAUGCAUCGUCAUUAGACAAAGAUGGAUUUGAAUCUAGCUAAAUCCCUUUAUUUUCUUCUUUUUGUUUUCUCUUUUUUUAAUUUCUGUUUGUGAUGGAGUAAUUUGCUAGGUUGGCUAUAAUUUCAUAUAGAUUAUGAAGUUGUAUGGAUCUAUAUGACUUUGUUGUAAUGGUAAUUAGGUGAUAUAAAAAUUGUGUAGCAAAGCAAGGCGAGAUGAUGAAUGAACACAGGAUGAUGAAAUUUUGUGCAAGAUAUGAAAUUGUAUGAAUUUGUAUGACAUUCAUUUGUAAUGCGUUCAUUUUUUGGAUUGGGAAAAAUAAAAGAAAGAAGAAGGAGACAAGAGGAAGAAAAUGAACUACUAGAUUGUGAUAUUUACCAAUAGAAUUUAUUGAUGAAUUUUUCUUUUUAUAAUUACUAAUUAAUUUUUUUCGGUAAUUAUUAAUGAAUUUUUUCUUCGAUAAUUACUGACAGAUUUCUUUGUGAUUAUUGACAACAUUAUUGUCGAUAUAUUUUGGUCUGUCGUAAAUCUAUCAAAAAAAAGUCAUUAUUAAUGGACUUUUUAUGUUUCUGUCAAAUUUUGGUUGUGGGUAUUAAACACGUAUCUUAGGAGUGAAAUCUAUCGAAAAACUAUUUAAGUUUCUAUUUACAAAAUUAAUUAGGAGUGAAAUUUGUUUAGAUUUGAAUUAUAGAAAGUUUGUAAUUUUUUUUAUUUUAAAAAAUUGUAAUUAAGUGAAUCAAUGAGCCAAUCCGUUUACCCACCAGUGAUGAAUCGAACCGAGUUUAAAUUUUUCCGACUUACUAAUAAAUAACUCGGAUUAAGUUGACCUGUUUUGACAACUCUAAUCUAUAAAUACAUAUUGAUAUUAGAUUUAUAGUUAAUAAAAGAAAUAAUUGUCAGGAGUCGCACCGAGGAAUUCAAUACCACAUUGAACAAGACACAGAAGUGAUCAAUUAUGACAUGUCAUUCACGUGAUACCUUUUGUGUCUUUCAUUCUUUAUACAAACACAAAAGUGAUCCGGUCUCUUAUUUACUCGUAUUCACGUAACAUGAUGGUUUGAUGAUAAUAUAAAAUAUGUUACACUUAAAUAAAUAAAUAGUUUUUUUAUUACUAUAACUACAAUUAAUGCAGAAAUCAUCCUUUGUUAUUCAACACACUUUAAUAAAAAAAAUCAAAUUCAUUUGUUAUUUUAAUAAUACACAAAAUAAUAGGAUAAAAUAAUGGAAAAAAUUGAAAUGAAAAAAUAUAAAAAAUUUAAAUACUUAGUAAAUCCGAAAAAUUUAAUAAAUUAAUAAAAAAGUGUUGGGCUGACCUCUCGUCUUCUUACUAAGAAGUAGAAGAACGAUGUUGGAUCAUUGUCGGCAAAACCUGUUUUAACCUCCAUUUUUGUCCUUCAUUGUCGAGCUCUUCUUGCCUUCUAAGCGAAAAAGGGUUUCAACAUCUGUUCUGAGGUGCAUUUUGCUAUGGCACUUUCUUAUGCUAAAGUGAUGAUGGCUCACUGUAUGGUUGCAGAGUUGUUGAGUCGAGCUGAGCGGAUUGAUGCUUUGGAGAGGUAGAAGGAGGAGGCAAUCUCAAGAUAAAAGAGAAAGAGGAAGAACUUACCUACUUUUCCACCAGCUUGGAUUUGGAACAAUGGAGCUAUGAUGGAGGAAGAAGGAAAAGUGGAGCAGAUUUUUAAUUUAAAUCAUGUAAAGGAUCAAGAACAAGUUCAUCUACUAGUGGUAGGAUUUAAGGAUUAUGCCAUGAUUUGAUUUGGUCGCAUCAAGUUUGUAAGGACAAUUACCAAGGGCCACCUACGACUUCUUGAUGGACAUUAAGGUUUUAAUGUGUGCUAGAUUUGUUCCUUCCCACAAUAGGAGCGAACUUUGUUUGAAGAUCCAAGGGUUCAACAAAGACGUUAGAAGAAUCUAAUGAAGAGAAAAUGACUAGGUUUGUAAAUAGAAUAAGGAGAGACAUACAAGACCUAGUAGAGUUGUAUGAGUAUUCCACUCUUGAAGAUGUUUUACACCUUGUCCUAAAGAUUGAAACUCAUUGAAAAGAAAAGAUAGGGCA
rnacentral:lncRNA from 1 species